GAUGAACGCUAGCGAUAGGCCUAACACAUGCAAGUCGAGGGGCAUCACAUGAAGUAGCAAUACGGAUGGUGGCGACCGGCGCACGGGUGAGUAACACGUAUGCAACCUGCCUUCAACAAGGGGAUAACCCGUUGAAAGACGGACUAAUACCCUAUAACACAGGGGUCCCGCAUGGGAAUAUUUGUUAAAGGACAACCGGUUGAAGAUGGGCAUGCGUUCCAUUAGCUAGUUGGCGGGGUAACGGCCCACCAAGGCAACGAUGGAUAGGGGAACUGAGAGGUUUAUCCCCCACACUGGUACUGAGACACGGACCAGACUCCUACGGGAGGCAGCAGUGAGGAAUAUUGGUCAAUGGACGCAAGUCUGAACCAGCCACGUCGCGUGAAGGAAGACGGCCCUA
rnacentral:rRNA from 1 species